AUGCAAGUCGAACGAAUUGUAGCUGUAGUUUACUAUGGGUACAGUUAGUGGCAGACGGGUGAGUAAUGCAUAGGAAUCUGCCUAGUAGUAUGGAAUAGCUGUUAGAAAUGACAGGUAAUACCGUAUAAUCCCUGCGGGGGAAAGAUUUAUCGCUAUUAGAUGAGCCUAUGUUAGAUUAGCUAGUUGGUAAGGUAAUGGCUUACCAAGGCUAUGAUCUAUAGCUGGUCUGAGAGGACGAUCAGCCACACUGGAACUGAGAUACGGUCCAGACUCCUACGGGAGGCAGCAGUGGGGAAUAUUGGACAAUGGGCGCAAGCCUGAUCCAGCUAUGCCGCAUGAGUGAAGAAGGCCUUAGGGUUGUAAAACUCUUUCAGCAGGGAAGAUAAUGACGGUACCUACAGAA
rnacentral:rRNA from 1 species